rnacentral:rRNA from 1 species
GAUGAACGCUGGCGGCGUGCCUAAUACAUGCAAGUCGUACGGAAAGGCCCUUCGGGGUACCCGAGUGGCGGACGGCUGAGUAACGCGUGGGAACGUGCCCCAAAGUGAGGGAUAACGCACCGAAAGGUGUGUUAAUACCGCAUAUGGUCUUCGGAUUAAAGCUUCGGCGCUUUGGGAGCGGCCCGCGUACGAUUAGAUAGUUGGUGAGGUAAUGGCUCACCAAGUCGACGAUCGUUAGCUGGUCUGAGAGGAUGAUCAGCCAGACUGGGACUGAGACACGGCCCAGACUCCUACGGGAGGCAGCAGUAAGGAAUCUUCCACAAUGGGGGCAACCCUGAUGGAGCAACGCCGCGUGCAGGAUGAAGGUUUUCGGAUCGUAAACUGCUUUUAUAAGUGAAGAAUAUGACGGUAACUUAUGAAUAAGGAUCGGCUAACUACGUGCCAGCCGCCGCAGUAA